UACGUAGGUGGCAAGCGUUGUCCGGAAUCAUUGGGCGUAAAGAGCGUGUAGGCGGUCCGGUAAGUCUGCUGUGAAAAGUCGGGGGGCUCAACCCUCGAAAGCCGGUGGAUACUGUCGGGCUAGAGUGCGGAAGAGGCGAGUGGAAUUCCUGGUGUAGCGGUGAAAUGCGCAGAUAUCAGGAGGAACACCGAUGGCGAAGGCAGGUCUCUGGGCAUUAACUGACGCUGAGGAGCGAAAGCAUGGGGGAGCGAACAGG
rnacentral:rRNA from 1 species